CCUUGUUCCUCACUGCCUGGAGGUCCAGUUUCUCAGUCCACACUGAGCUCCCUGAGAGUGUACAGGGACAGGCCGUCAAGGUGAUGCAGCCAAGUCAGCAAGAUCUGCAACAGCUGUUCCCAUAGCGUCAUCAGUCAGGAAGAAGAGACCAGUGAAUCCUGGUGCACUGUGGCAAACUUCAAGUUCGAACUUAAGAGUUUCUCAACCGUGACCCGAAGGCCACCCACAUCAAUGUUAAAAGUGCUGAUCCCUGUGCCGCUCAGUCCUGUGGAAUUAGAAUCUCAGUCCAGAGUCUGCACUUUCAAGUCCUGUAGAUCUCAGUCGCUGUCAUUUGAGUUGCUCCUCACAGUCCUGGCAAUCUCAAAUCUCCGGAUGCCUUGGUAGGAAAGUUCCGUCUGGCUGAUCAGAAUAGAGGCCAUUGUGAUCCUGUGAGAAAACGUUGAAAUCUUGGUGUGGAGGGGAGAAGAAUGCUCCAGAGAAAGACUGCAUAGGUGUUGUUCUGUGUGAGUCGGAGAAUCGUCUACGAUAGCUGCCAUUUUAGUUUUGAAUGAGUGAAUCUGAUCAGCCUACAGAAACCAAAGUAAAAUAAUAAAUAGAAAAGGGGUAGAUCAUAAAAUUGACUACUUAGCACAUCCAGUAGAAAUAGGCUGGGAAGGAUCUUCAAGACAGAUCUCUGGAAUUCCCCGUCAAGGGUCCCAGGCAGAGUGUACCCUCAAGUGAGGCUCCCAGGUAAAAGGACAAGCAACGUUUCAGAUGUGGCAUAAUCAAAUAUGGCUCUGAUCUCAUCAAGUAGAACCUGACUAAGGAAUUUGGAGCAGUGAGCAGGAGUUCCCAGUUGAGCCUUCUCCCUAUGAUUGUGACUCCCACGGCUGAACUCUUGACUUCUCUUUUCCCCUGUAGAUCUUUGAAUAGCAUGGGAUCUCUAUUGGAAACAGCUCACUUUCUAGCUCCUCUCAUGGAUACAAUGUUUGUACUCUUUGGUCUCUGUACUGGCUGGUUUCCUGUGUCAACUUGACACAUGCUAGAGUUAUCACAGAGAAAGGAGCCUCCCUUGAGGAAAUGCCUCCAUGAGAUCCAGCUGUAAGGCACAUUUUCUCAAUUAGUGAUCAAGUGGGGAGGGCCCAGCCUACUGUGUG
ensembl:lncRNA